AAUUCCUGUAUAGGAACAAAAACAGUGUUCCAUUACUCAUCUUUGAUAAUAAUUCAAGCUUACAUGGAAAUAUCUUGUUAAAGGACAAAUCACAAGCUCUGGCCAGGCUUGGCCUUUCCCUGGAGGUCUGGGUGUUCAUGCACUCCGAAGCUAAGGAGAGGACAGGCAGGAAGUUUUCUACUACAUGGAAAGGGAAAAGGAGGGGCUGGAAAGCCAUGGACAUAAAUGGUGAGGGUCAGAGGACUACGGCUGUCUUUGGGGUCUAGUGGUAACAGUGGUAAUUACCUAAUCAAAGAAACUUCCCCUUGUAUGCAUUUUCAAAUGUCUUUUUUGUUGUUGUUGUUGUUUUGUCAAUAAGACAACGAUUCUUUAUACUCAUGCUCCCAAACUUUCCUAUAGGAAUAAUUGUUAAAAGGAGAGAAAAAAACCAGUGUGGAAGCUGCAUGUUCAAGCCAUCAGUCAUUUUAAAGAGGACAAGGGCACAGAAGUCCAUUCAUUUUCAGAAAAUAAAAAGCAGAUUAUGUUUGUUUUUCAAA